GGCGUCGAUAGUGCAAUAGGUUAGCACGCGCGUCCGGAAGGGUGAGAUGCGGGCUUGAUUCCCGCCCGACGUCA